rnacentral:rRNA from 1 species
AGGAAAAGAAACCAACAGGGAUUGCCUCAGUAACGGCGAGUGAAGCGGCAAAAGCUCAAAUUUGAAAUCUAGCACCUUCGGUGUUCGAGUUGUAAUUUGAAGAUGGUAACCUUGGGUUUGGCUCUUGUCUAUGUUCCUUGGAACAGGACGUCAUAGAGGGUGAGAAUCCCGUCUGAUGAGAUGCCCAUUCCUAUGUAAGGUGCUAUCGAAGAGUCGAGUUGUUUGGGAAUGCAGCUCUAAGUGGGUGGUAAAUUCCAUCUAAAGCUAAAUAUUGGCGAGAGACCGAUAGCGAACAAGUACAGUGAUGGAAAGAUGAAAAGAACUUUGAAAAGAGAGUGAAAAAGUACGUGAAAUUGUUGAAAGGGAAGGGCAUUAGAUCAGACUUGGUGUUUUACGAUUAUCUUCUCUUCUUGAGUUGUGCACUCGUAUUUCACUGGGCCAGCAUCGAUUCGGAUGGCAAGAUAAUGGCAGUUGAAUGUGGCUUCACUUCGGUGGAGUGUUAUAGCUUCUGCUGAUAUUGCCUGUCUGGAUCGAGGGCUGCGUCUUUUGACUAGGAUGCUGGCGUAAUGAUCUAAUGCCGCC